CCAGAUUCCUGCCUGAAAGCUUGCAUUCUACUGGAGGGGACAGACAUGAGAGGAAGCAGCAACAUAAAAUGCUCAUGGAUGAUUACAGAGCAGCAGCAAUAGGAAUGUGACCUUGGGCCAGUCCCUGACUCUCCAAACCUCAGUUUCCUCAUCUGAAUCAAAGGAGGCCAGCAUGGCACUCCUGGCACUGGGUGUGAGCAUCACGAAGCACCCGCCUGAGCCUUUGACUAUGCCUCAGGCUGUUCCCAGCUUCACCACACCCAGGUUUGCUUCCACUUAAGCUCCUGGGUGUUCAGGCCACUCACUUUGGAGAGGUCCUCCAUUUGGAAGAAAGCCAUUAAAGGACAUUAAUUGAGAUCAUUUCAAUAUGUUAAUCCACCGUUUCCUCUCCCGGUGCAUCCUGAGACGAGGACUCCAGCUCGCCUCCCACUCUGUAUGCGCCAGACCUCCACACCCGAGGCUUAUCACAAGCAAUUAUCUUACCCAAAUAAAAAAUGAAAAUGGAAAAGUUAAAUAAAUAACGGGACAUCUUGA